rnacentral:rRNA from 1 species
GUCGAACGCUGGCGGCGUGCUUAACACAUGCAAGUCGAACGGAAAGACCCUGCUUUUGUGGGGUGCUCGAGUGGCGAACGGGUGAGUAACACGUGAGUAACCUGCCCUUGACUUUGGGAUAACUUUAGGAAACUGGGGCUAAUACCGGAUAUGAGCUCCUGCUGCAUGUUGGGGGUUGGAAAGUUUCGGCGGUUGGGGAUGGACUGGCGGCUUAUCCGCUUGAUGGUGGGGUAGGGGCUUACCAAGGCUUUGACGGGUAGCCGGCCUGGGAGGGUUGCCGGGCUCAUUGGGACUGAGGUAGGGCCCAGAAGCCAACGGGAGGCAGCAGUGGGGAAUAUUACACAAUGGGCGGAAGCCUGAUGCAGCGGCGCCGCGUGCGGGAUGACGGCCUUCGGGUUGUAAACCGCUUUCGCCUGUGACGAAGCGUGAGUGACGGUAAUGGGUAAAGAAGCACCGGCUAACUACGUG